rnacentral:rRNA from 1 species
UACGGAGGGUGCAAGCGUUGUCCGGAUUUAUUGGGUUUAAAGGGUGCGUAGGCGGCCCGUUAAGUCAGCGGUGAAAUCCCGGGGCUCAACCCCGGAACUGCCGUUGAUACUGGCGGGCUUGAGUUCGGUCGAGGCGGGCGGAAUGGAUGGUGUAGCGGUGAAAUGCAUAGAUACCAUCCAGAACCCCGAUUGCGAAGGCAGCUGCCUAGACUGUAACUGACGCUGAGGCACGAAAGCGUGGGGAGCGAACAGG